rnacentral:lncRNA from 1 species
CUGAAAAAUAAAAUUCUNCUUCCUUUGAAAGAGUCCCCAUUGGUCCAAGUAAGAGUUCCCUUGCCUGACAUCUUCCCCCCCUUCAUAUUUCCCAAAUACAAAUUUCCGUUAGACCACGUAUACUUACCAGGCCCUUCUGGGGUUCCAUGCAUCCACGAACCUUCAAAUACAUCGCUAUUAGGAAAUAUUUGAUAUCCCAAACCAUGUUUGAUAUUUAACCUCCACCGACCAUUAUAGGUUAUACUGUCAGGUCUGGUAUAAGUUCCCUUGCCAUGCAUAUAAUUACUUGAAAAUUCACUUUCAUAAAGAGCGCCAGAUGGCCAUAGAAAUUUUCCAUAUCCAUUCCUCAUCCCAUAUUCCACUCACCCUCAUACUUGCAACCAUUUGACCAGACAUAGCUCCCAGAACCCUCAGGUAUAUUGCUCAGUAGGGAUCUAGAAUAAAAUUCUCCAUUGUUUAAUAAGAUCUCUCCCGAUAUAAAGCUAGUUGUUUCAGAAGAAGCACAACAAAUCUCCCCAGUUAAUUCAGCGAGGUACCCUUUGUCAUUAGAUAAUGUAGUAUCAAGAGAUCUUGUUCUAUCAGAUAAUGAUAGUACACUUUCACCACCAUCAACAACGAGCACUGGGACAGACAUGCAUAAUGCCAAAAAGUUUUCAGUUCCAAACGCAGAUGGAAAUCACCUGAAUGUCCACAUGAGGUGGAAGAACUUAGAUUUCUUGUCUUCAAUCCUUUGGAAAUAGACAUAAACAUCACCAGUUAUGUCUUUUGGGCAUAAAAGCAUGAUAGAUUUCAACAAACCACAAAAUUUAACAAUAGCCAAGUGUUCCCAGAGAUGGAUUUAUCACUUACCAGUUGGUCAAAUAAAAUUUUAUGACACUUUGCUAAAGAUUGAUACAUAUGGUUCACAAUGCAACAAGGAAAGGAGAAUAUUGAGGACGAAAAUGAAUAUGCUAUCAUGCCAGAACAUGAAUAAUAAAAGAAGCUAUCAAAAUCCCAAUAAUAACAUAAUCAGAAGGCAUUAAUAUCACAUGUGAAUAUGACUAAGAGCAACUAGUGUUUCGACAUAUCUGUAUAGUAACAGAAAUAGAGUGUUAUUUGAACUACAGACCUCUACUAGUUGAAUUCAACAUACAUAUGAAAGAAUAAAAGCAUAUUUUAGAGAUACGUGCGCUAAUUAUGAAUAAUUCUUAAAGCAAAGCAAGCACAAGUGAAUCCCAUCAAUGACAUGGCAAGGCGAAUGACACAGGGUAACAAUGACAAAUCAUGUUAAAGGCCUUGGCUCAGCAUAGGAUCAAACAGUAGGAAGCAAGAACUGCGAAUGACAAGAGAAGGCCAAUUAGUCAAGGCUAAACCGAACAAAAAGCAGCUUGCAGUAAGACCAUUCAUCCAGCAAUUCUGAUACAUUCCAACAGACACUCAGCAUGUGCAAAAGACAG